UAAAUUGGUGAGUUAUGGUCGAUUUGAAG
rnacentral:piRNA from 1 species